rnacentral:tRNA from 1 species
GCGGAUGUGGCGGAAUUGGCAGACGCGCAUGGUUCAGGUCCAUGUGAGGUAACACUCAUGCAGGUUCAAGUCCUGUCAUCCGCA